AUUGAACGCUGGCGGCAUGCUUUACACAUGCAAGUCGAACGGCAGCGCGGGCUUCGGCCUGGCGGCGAGUGGCGAACGGGUGAGUAAUACAUCGGAACGUGCCCAGUAGUGGGGGAUAGCUCGGCGAAAGCCGGAUUAAUACCGCAUACGACCUGAGGGUGAAAGCGGGGGAUCUUCGGACCUCGCGCUAUUGGAGCGGCCGAUGGCAGAUUAGCUAGUUGGUGGGGUAAAGGCCUACCAAGGCGACGAUCUGUAGCGGGUCUGAGAGGACGACCAGCCACACUGGGACUGAGACACGGCCCAGACUCCUACGGGAGGCAGCAGUGGGGAAUUUUGGACAAUGGGCGAAAGCCUGAUCCAGCAAUGCCGCGUGUGUGAUGAAGGCCUUCGGGUUGUAAAGCACUUUUGGCGGGAACGAAAAGGACUGUGCCAAUACCACGGUUCGAUGACGGUACCCGCAGAAUAAGCACCGGCUAACUACGUG
rnacentral:rRNA from 1 species